rnacentral:rRNA from 1 species
CCCUAGUAACGGCGUGUGAAGCGGCAAUAGCUCAAAUUUGAAAUCUGGGUCCUUUUAGGGCUCCGAGUUGUAAUUUGCAGAGGGUGCUUNGGCGUUGGUAGCGGUCUAAGUUCCUCGGAACAGGACAUCGCAGAGGGUGAGAAUCCCGUUUGUGGUCGCAUGCCUUCGCCGUGUAAAGCCCCUUCGACGAGUCGAGUUGUUUGGGAAUGCAGCUCUAAAUGGGAGGUAAAUUUCUUCUAAAGCUAAAUACUGGCCAGAGACCGAUAGCGCACAAGUAGAGUGAUCGAAAGAUGAAAAGCACUUUGGAAAGAGAGUCAAACAGCACGUGAAAUUGUUGAAAGGGAAGCGCUUGCAGCCAGACUUGCCCGUAGUUGCUCACCUAGGCUUUUGCCUGGGGCAUUCUUCUGCGGGCAGGCCAGCAUCAGUUUGGGCGGUCGGAUAAAGGUCUCUGUCAUGUAGCUUCCUUCGGGAAGAACUUAUAGGGGAGACGAAAUGCGACCAGCCUGGACUGAGGUCCGCGCUUCUGCUAGGAUGCUGGCGUAAUGGCUGUAAGCGGCCCGUCUUGAAACACGGACCAAGGAGUCUAACAUCUAUGCGAGUGUUUGGGUGUCAAGCCCGAGCGCGUAAUGAAAGUGAACGGAGGUGGGAACCCUUUGGGUGCACCAUCGACCGAUCCUGAUGUCUUCGGAUGGAUUUGAGUAAGAGCAUAGCUGUUGGGACCCGAAAGAUGGUGAGCUAUGCUUGAAUAGGGUGAAGCCAGAGGAAACUCUGGUGGAGGCUCGCAGCGGUUCUGACGUGCAAAUCGAUCGUCAAAUUUGGGCAUAGGGGCGAAAGACUAAUCGAACUAUCUAGUAGCUGGUUCCUGCCGAA